AAUCAUGAAAAUUAAAUUUGAGAAUGUGAUUAUAACUGCCACCCAUAACAAAAUACUAAGCUCUUAAUACUCACUCCGGCGGCCCUAUGCAGCCACGCGCUUCUCCGACGAAUAGACCCACCAGCAGCGACAACUCGACCGAACCCAACAUCGGGAACUUCCCGAGAACCUCCAUCCACCGACGGGAAUCCGGCAACCCACACGAAGUUUCGGAUCCAGGGAAUAGCUUCAGAUCCGGCGAGGCAGAGCGGACCGUGGAUGAAGCCCCACGAAGAGUACACGCGCGCACUUCCGAUCGACGGCCACCCACGACCGCAGUAGACUCCGGUGCUUCACGGCGAUGGCCGAUUUUCCUGCACCGAAACAGUGGCCUUCAAGGUAAAGAGGGCUGCUUCAUCGAAGAAGAUGAAGAGAAGAUUGGAGGGAGAAGUCGAAGUCGAAGAAGAAGUGGAGAAAAGAAAUUCGGAAAAGCGCUCGCAAUAUGAUAGUCCGAAGGAAACGGCCAGAAAUGGAAGAAUCUGAUCGAUCGCAGCCGUCCGAUGUGUUCUCUCUCUACAGUUCCCGGUGAUAUAUAUAUAUAUACACACACCUCUGCUCCACCACUUUUCUCCACACUACAUCUCCGCCUGGCAUUUGUUGCUAGAGAGAGAAGAACAGAUACCUUAGACUCCUAGAGAGAGAGAGAGAAACUCGGUUGCCGAGUCAUGGCCGGACCCAGAGACAUCGACGAUCUGCCGAAGAACGAUGCCAACUACACCGCCUUGACGCCGCUGUGGUUCAUCGAGAGAGCCGCGUUGGUUCAUCCUUCCAGAUUAUCGGUCGUCCAUGGAUCUCGCCGCUACAACUGGCUUCAGACUUACCAACGCUGCCGCCGUUUGGCUUCCGCUCUCUCGAACCGCUCCAUCGGCGCCGGAGACACGGUAGCAAUAAUUGCA
rnacentral:misc_RNA from 1 species